GCUUUCGCUGUCGGUUUCGCCGGAGAGCUAGGAUUCGAGAGGAACGGUGGGGGGCGAGCGUACCGGGCGGGGAGAGGUGAAAUUUUGUGAUCCGCGCGGGACGACUCGAAGCGAAAGCGCUGGCCCCGGACGUCUUCCUUAAUCCAGAACGAAGGUGGGUGGAGCAAAGACGAUCAGAUACCGUCGUAGUACCGACGGUAAACGCUGCCGACCGGGCCGCGGACUAGGCUCGAGAACAGCG
rnacentral:rRNA from 1 species